rnacentral:rRNA from 1 species
GGCUUAUUGAUAAUAAUUUUAAGUCUGGCCUGCCCAAUGAGUGAUUAAAUGGCCGCGGUAUCUUGACCGUGCAAAGGUAGCAUAAUCAUUAGUUUUUUAAUUGAAAGCUUGAAUGAAUGGUUUAAUGAAAAAAUUUCUGUCUCUAGAAAAGUUUAUUAGAAUUUUAUUUUUAAGUAAGAAAGCUUAAAUAUUUAUAGAAGACGAGAAGACCCUUUAGAGUUUUAUAUGUAAAUAUAAUUAAAUAUAGUACGGUUAAAUUAAAUAUUUAAUUUAUUUACGUAUUUUGUUGGGGUGAUAGAAAAAUUAGAAAAACUUUUUUUGUUGGUAAACAUUUAUUUGUGGGUACAUGAUCCUGAAUUUUAGAUUAUAAGAGCAAAUUACCUAAGGGAUAACAGCGUUAUCUUUUCUAGAGUUCUUAUCGAAGAAGAGGAUUGCGACCUCGAUGUUGGAUUAAAAUUAGUUAUUGGUGUAGAAGCUGAAUAAUUAGGUCUGUUCGACCUUUAAAAUUUUACAUGAUCUGAGUUUAGACCGGUGUGAG